UACUGGAGUAGAAAGCAGUAAGGAU
rnacentral:piRNA from 1 species